rnacentral:lncRNA from 1 species
UGGGCACAGUCCUGCUUGCGAGAAUCAGAGUUUGACAGCAACGUUUCCCCCACAGAGGCAUCAAUUGAAGAUUGCUUCUUGCUAUGUGCGAUUGACAGGACCCGGUGGCCACUUCCUCGUCUCAGCACUGGGACCCCAUCUGGCUUGGACUGGCGUAGGUCCUGGGCAUGAUGUCACAGAGUCUGUGAGUUCAUAUGUGUGUCAGACCUGGGCUGUCUGGAAGACACUGUUUCCAUGGAGUCAUCCAUCACCUCUGGGUCUUACAGCCUUCCUCUUCCUCUUCUUCUUCCUCUUCCCCAUAGACCUGAGCCCUGAGGGAAAGGAUCUAAUAAAGACAUCCCGUUUAGAACUGAA